rnacentral:rRNA from 1 species
UACAGAGGUCUCAAGCGUUGUUCGGAUUCAUUGGGCGUAAAGGGUGCGUAGGCGGGUCUUUAAGUCAGGGGUGAAAUCCUGGAGCUCAACUCCAGAACUGCCUUUGAUACUGAAGAUCUUGAGUUCGGGAGAGGUGAGUGGAACUGCGAGUGUAGAGGUGAAAUUCGUAGAUAUUCGCAAGAACACCAGUGGCGAAGGCGGCUCACUGGCCCGAUACUGACGCUGAGGCACGGAAGCGUGGGGAGCAAACAGG